rnacentral:rRNA from 1 species
AAUCUUGCGCAAUGGGCGAAAGCCUGACGCAGCCAUGCAGCGUGAAUGAUGAAGGUCUUAUGUGUGUAAAAUUCUUUCACCGGGGACGAUAAUGACGCUACACGGAGAAGAAGCCACGGCUAACUUCGUGCGAGCAGCCGCGGUAAAACGAAGGGGGCUAGCGUUGCUCGGAAUUACUGGGCGUAUAGGGGGCGUAGGCGGAUCGUUAAGUCAGGGGUGAAAUCCCGGGGCUCAACCUCGGAACUGCCCUUGAUACUGGCGAUCUUGAGUAUGAGAGAGGUAUGUGGAACUCCGAGUGUAGAGGUGAAAUUCGUAGAUAUUCGGAAGAACACCAGUGGCGAAGGCGACAUACUGGCUCAUUACUGACGCUGAGGCGCGAAAGCGUGGGGAGCAAACA